GCACUCUUAGCUCAGUUGGUAGAGCAACUGACUCUUAAUCAGUGUCCAGGGUUCGAAUCCCUGAGGGUGUA
rnacentral:tRNA from 1 species